GAGGUUGCCGCCCAUAAACAAAAUGCACUCUUCCUCCUCCCCUCUGCGGCCCCUCCCCUAACUGCCCCUUCCCUCAUUCUGUCAUCUUUGAUUGGCCUAAGAGACACCCAAUCCGCUAUCUCAAGCAUCGACUGGUGAGCGGAAACUUCACUCAGAGCAGUUUUAACAGUCUAUUGGUCAAUGUUCUCAACUCUUCCCGCCCACCAGCGCCCUGUGUAGAGAGGCCAGCGGUCUCUGGUUAUUCAGUGAUCCAAGAGCUGGGAAACUAUUGGUCGACAGAGGCCGUCAGACCGGACUGUAGUGAUCGGUGAUUGGUGGAUCGUGUGAAUGCCCAGGAACACUGUAAUAAAAGUGUGACAAUGGAA
ensembl:processed_transcript